rnacentral:rRNA from 1 species
GACGAACGCUGGCGGCGUGCUUAACACAUGCAAGUCGAACGGAAAGGCCCUGCUUUUGUGGGGUGCUCGAGUGGCGAACGGGUGAGUAACACGUGAGUAACCUGCCCUUGACUUUGGGAUAACUUCAGGAAACUGGGGCUAAUACCGGAUAGGAGCUCCUGCUGCAUGGUGGGGGUUGGAAAGUUUCGGCGGUUGGGGAUGGACUCGCGGCUUAUCAGCUUGUUGGUGGGGUAGUGGCUUACCAAGGUUUUGACGGGUAGCCGGCCUGAGAGGGUGACCGGGCACAUGGGGACUGAGGUACGGCCCAGACUCCUACGGGAGGCAGCAGUGGGGAGUAUGGCACAGUGGGCGGAAGCCUGAGACAGCAACGCCGCGUGCGGGAUGACGGCCUUCGGGUUGUGAACCGCUUUCGCCGGUGACGAAGCGUGAGUGACGGUAAUGGGUAAAGAAGCACCGGCUAACUACGUG